rnacentral:rRNA from 1 species
GACGAACGCUGGCGGCGUGCUUAACACAUGCAAGUCGAACGGAAAGGCCCUGCUCUUGUGGGUUGCUCGAGUGGCGAACGGGGGAGUAACACGUGUGUAACCUGCCCUUGACUUUGGGAUAACUUCAGGAAACUGGGGCGAAUACCGGAUAGGAUCUCCUGAUGCAUGGGGGGGGUUGGAAAGUUACGGCGGUUGUGGCUGGAAUCGAGGCUUAUGAGCUUGUUGGUGGGGUAGUUGCUUACCAAGGCUGUGAAGGGUAGCCGGCCUGGGAGGGUGACCGGCGUCAUUGCGCCUGCGGGAGGGACCAGACGGCUACGGGACGCAGCAGUGGGGAGUAUUGCAGAGUGGGCGGGCGUCAGAUGUAGCGGCGCCGCGUGCGUAAUGACCGCCUUCGGGUUGUAAACAGAUUUCGACUGUGACGAAGCGUGAGUGACGGUAAUGGGUCAAGAAGCACCGGCUAACUACGUG